rnacentral:rRNA from 1 species
UACGUAGGUGGCAAGCGUUGUCCGGAAUUACUGGGUGUAAAGCGCGUGUAGGCGGCAGACCAAGUCGGCGGUGAAAGCGCCCGGCUCAACUGGGCGAGGUCCGUGGAAACUGGUCAGCUGGAGGACGGUAGAGGCGAGUGGAAUUCCCGGUGUAGUGGUGAAAUGCGUAGAGAUCGGGAGGAACACCUGUGGCGAAGGCGGCUCACUGGUCCGGUACUGACGCUGAGGUGCGAAAGCGUGGGGAGCAAACAGG